AUAGAUAAUAUUCCGUAGACAGUAGGUGCGUAAGCGUAACAGAAUUUACCUACCGAGGAUUCUAAUAGAACGUGAUGAUUUUAUUGGUCUCUUCGUAUGUUUGCGGAGAGACUUUUAUUAUUAA
rnacentral:sRNA from 1 species